ACAUGCUUACAUCAUAGCGUCAAUACAUUGGAUUCCAUUAGAACUCCAUAGUUAAGCAUGCUCAUGAUAUAGUAGUAUUGAUAUGGGUGACCUCUUGGGAAGUCCUAGUGUUUUACAUGCC
rnacentral:rRNA from 1 species